rnacentral:rRNA from 1 species
AGUAAUGUAUCGGAACGUGCCCAGUCUGGGGGAUAACUGCUCGAAAGGGCAGCUAAUACCGCAUACGACCUGAGGGUGAAAGCGGGGGAUCGCAAGACCUCGCGCGAUUGGAGCGGCCGAUAUCAGAUUAGGUAGUUGGUGAGGUAAAGGCUCACCAAGCCGACGAUCUGUAGCUGGUCUGAGAGGACGACCAGCCACACUGGGACUGAGACACGGCCCAG